rnacentral:rRNA from 1 species
AACGAACGCUGGCGGCAGGCUUAACACAUGCAAGUCGAGCGCCCCGCAAGGGGAGCGGCAGACGGGUGAGUAACGCGUGGGAAUCUACCCAACCCUACGGAAUAACGCAUGGAAACGUGUGCUAAUACCGUAUACGCCCUACGGGGGAAAGAUUUAUCGGGGAUGGAUGAGCCCGCGUUGGAUUAGCUAGUUGGUGGGGUAAAGGCCUACCAAGGCGACGAUCCAUAGCUGGUCUGAGAGGAUGAUCAGCCACAUUGGGACUGAGACACGGCCCAAACUCCUACGGGAGGCAGCAGUGGGGAAUAUUGGACAAUGGGCGCAAGCCUGAUCCAGCCAUGCCGCGUGAGUGAUGAAGGCCCUAGGGUUGUAAAGCUCUUUCACCGAUGAAGAUAAUGACGGUAGUCGGAGAAGAAGCCCCGGCUAACUUCGUGCCAGCAGCCGCAGUAACAC